UGGAAUUCUCAACCUCUAAUGAAGUUUGGGAUGCAAGUUGCAGAUUUUCUUUUGUCCACUAACAUGUUGUCUGGCAACAAUUACACAAAGGCUGCCCUCUUGUUCAAAUUCAUGAACAUGGGGAUGGUAAACAAAAACACCUUCUUCUCCAUUCAAGACAAUUACUGUGUCAACACAAUAAAGGACUUCUGGGAAGAGAGAAGGACAGAGGCUCUUCAUUGCCUUCAAGGGAAGGUUGUCAUAGUCUUAGGUGUGUAGUUUAAAAUGUAUAAUGUUACAUAACUAUUGACAUAAAGCAAUGACAUUGUGACUAUAUGUAAGCAACUAAAUGUUGAGUUAUAUUUUGUUUUUCUUCAGCAGAUGGCAGAAAUGACUCGCCUGGUCACUGUGCACAAUACUGCAGCUACACCACCAUGGAGAAUGACACCAAGGAGACACCACCAUAGACAAGCGGCAGACAUCAUGGAACUCUGUUGUCAUGGAGAAGGAGGGUUUCAUCCAGACUCAGAGAUAAAGCUAGUGGAGAUCUGCACAGAUGCUCAUGUUCAGAUUGGUGCCAUUAUGAGUAAGUAUUAAUCUGACACAUUGUGUGAAUACAUGUCUAUAACAGUAAUAUAAAUAUUGUAGCAAUAUAGCAAUAUGACAUAAUUGACCUCUUUAUAGACCCAGAUAAAGGCAAAUACAAGGCCCUUGGAAUUCAUCACAGUCUGGACAUGUGGCAUGGUGCGAAGAACCUUGCCAAAAAAAUAGCAGCCGCAGCAAAGAUAAAAGGACAGUCCAUCCUCCUCAACUGGCUGAAAGAAAUUGUGGUGUCAGUACGAGACUUGGACUCAGUUGCAGGUGCCCAAAAGGUCAGUUUAUUUAACAGGCUUGAAUUUCAAAAAAAGGGAAAAAAAGUAAAUAAAAAACUAUCCAGGUACAGGGCAGCCCGGAGAAGAUCACGAAGUGCCUCCUGGACGAAUUCCACUAAGAAAAUCCACAGCAAGGCCGAGAUAAACUGACAGAGAGGCGGGGGCGCUGUUGAGGCAGGGAACUGGUGGCGCACCGGCAGCGAGGCGAAGAAGAGCACUGACGGUGAUCGCGAGCAAGGGAAGGGUAGGAGAAUUAGCGCUGCCUGAAAGCAGGAGGAAGAGGGAGAAAACAAAACUAAAGGAUGAAAACAAAACUAGCAUGAUCUCUGUGCAGGCAAAACAUGAGCUGUGGAUGGAGCUGAGACAUAAACGAGCACAACACGACGUUCUGACAACAGACAGCACACGAGAGGAGACUAAAUAGAGAAGGAGUGAUUAACAUAAUGCAGAGCAGGUGAUGGUGGCCAAUAACAAAAUAAUAAUGAAACAAGAGGGCGGAGACGGGCACCACGAUGACACAGAAGCACAUGGUAAGUGUAAACAACCACAAGCACGCACCCACACACACACACGCACAAUAAGAGAAAAACAGACAAAUCAGCCCAGGGACGUGACAUUACCCCCCUCCCCAGGAGCGUCCCCUGGCGCUCCAGGGAAGGAACCUCCACGCUGCCGGUAGAAGUCCUCGAUCAGUGACCGAUCCAGAAUAUCCCGAGCCGGGACCCAACUCCUCUCAUCCGGACCAUAUCCCUCCCAGUCCACCAGAUACUGAAAUCCCCGACCUCGACGUCUGACAUCCAGCAACCUUCUGACAGUGAAGACUGGGGAACCAUCCACUAGACGGGGAGGGGGAGGGUUAGUAGCAGAUGAGUUAAGGUGAGAAUGAAACACAGGCUUGACCCGAGAAACAUGAAAGACUGGGUGUACCCGACCAAGUGUGGGAGGUAACUUGAGCUUUACCGCCACCGGACUCAAUACCUUGGUGAUCUGAUAUGGCCCAAUGAACCUGGGGGCUAACUUGCGAGAAGCCACCCGGAGAGGAAGGUCCUUGGUAGACAGCCAUACUCUCUGACCACAUACGUAGCGGGGAGCAGGAAUUCGGUGACGGUCAGCCGCUGCUUUGGUUCGUCUGGAAACCCGAGCCAAGGUU
ensembl:lncRNA